UACGUAGGGGGCGAGCGUUAUCCGGAAUUACUGGGCGUAAAGCGCACGCAGGCGGUUCGCCAAGUUUGGAGUGACAGUUGUCGGCUCAACCGACAAAGGACUUCAAAAACUGGUGAACUUGAGGACGAGAGAGGAACAAGGAACUCCAGGUGUAGUAGUGAAAUGCGUAGAUAUCUGGAAGAACACCAAUGGCGAAGGCAAUGUUCUGGCUGGCAUCUGACGCUGAGGCGCGAAAGCUAGGGGAGCGAACAGG
rnacentral:rRNA from 1 species